rnacentral:rRNA from 1 species
GACGAACGCUGGCGGCGUGCCUAACACAUGCAAGUCGAGCGGAGACAGUGAGUAGCUUGCUACGAGCUGUUUUAGCGGCGGACGGGUGAGUAACGCGUGAGCAACCUUUCCCAGACAGGGGAAUAACACACCGAAAGGUGUACUAAUACCGCAUAAGACCACGGUUUCACAUGGGACUGGGGUAAAAGAUUUAUCGGUUUGGGGUGGGCUCGCGUCCGAUUAGGUAGUUGGUGAGGUAACGGCCCACCAAGCCGACGAUCGGUAGCCGACCUGAGAGGGUGAUCGGCCACAUUGGGACUGAGACACGGCCCAAACUCCUACGGGAGGCAGCAGUGGGGAAUAUUGGGCAAUGGAGGAAACUCUGACCCAGCAACGCCGCGUGGAGGAAGAAGGUUUUCGGAUCGUAAACUCCUGUCCUUGGAGACGAGUAGAAGACGGUAUCCAAGGAGGAAGCCCCGGCUAACUACGUG